UCCCAUCCUGCACAAGUUUAUGGAUUGAGGAUUGCAAUUCCUUAGCAAACUUCCCAAACUUGUCAAAUUUUCCUAAAUUGAUGGAAUUGUACCUAUCAAAUUGCCAUGGAUUUCAGGAGAUCCCAUGGCUUGUGGAGUAAACUUCUCUUUUUUAUAUUGCUAUCUCAGGAUUUUCCUCGGUCGAGAUCUUACCCGAUUUGUCGUCAUGUACCAACUUGUUCACUCUGGUUGUGCAAAAUUGUGAGAAACUAACUGAGCUUCGGGGGCUUGAGAAAUUGGAGCACCUAGGGAUAUUGGACAUUUCUGGCUGCAAUUCACUCAAGACAAUACCAGAGUUACCUGGAAUUCUGCUUUAUCAAAAUUAUGAACAAAAUCCACUUGACUCAUAUGAAUUGAUGAUGGAAUUUUCGGAAGACGACAGUGAUCAGUCAGAAUGUUGAGAUGAUCCAUAUAUCCUUAGCAGGGAAUCCGAAGGAGAUGUUCAUGGAAGUUAAUGUGUGUACUUUGGCAAAAUGUUUCUGCUCAUCAUGCCAGUAAAUGAUAUAGAUCAAAAGGCCUUCUAAGUGCAUCGUUUGCCAUCAGUCUUCAGGAGCUUUCAAAAGGCACUUCUAAAAGGAAAAAAAGUCACUUAAGGAUCAGGAGCUCGAUGUUUAUUGGACUUCUCCGAAUGCUGACAAUGUAUCCUUGG